CCUACGGGCGGCAGCAGUGAGGAAUAUUGGUCAAUGGACGCGAGCCUGAACCAGCCAAGUAGCGUGAAGGAUGACUGCCCUACGGGUUGUAAACUUCUUUUAUACAGGAAUAAAGUGAGGCACGUGUGCCUUUUUGUAUGUACUUUAUGAAUAAGGAUCGGCUAACUCCGUGCCAGCAGCCGCGGUAAUACGGAGGAUCCGAGCGUUAUCCGGAUUUAUUGGGUUUAAAGGGAGCGUAGGUGGGUUGUUAAGUCAGUUGUGAAAGUUUGCGGCUCAACCGUAAAAUUGCAGUUGAAACUGGCAGCCUUGAGUACAGUAGAGGUAGGCGGAAUUCGUGGUGUAGCGGUGAAAUGCUUAGAUAUCACGAAGAACUCCGAUUGCGAAGGCAGCUUACUAAACUGCCACUGACAUUGAUGCUCGAAAGUGUGGGUAUCAAACAGGAUUAGAUACCCGAGUAGUC
rnacentral:rRNA from 1 species